rnacentral:rRNA from 1 species
CAGUAGCCGCGGGAAUACGUAGGUCCCGAGCGUUGUCCGGAUUUAUUGGGCGUAAAGCGAGCGCAGGCGGUUAGAUAAGUCUGAAGUUAAAGGCUGUGGCUUAACCAUAGUACGCUUUGGAAACUGUUUAACUUGAGUGCAGAAGGGGAGAGUGGAAUUCCAUGUGUAGCGGUGAAGUGCGUAGAUAUGUGGAGGAACACCGGUGGCGAAAGCGGCUCUCUGGUCUGUAACUGACGCUGAGGCUCGAAAGCGUGAGGAGCAAACAGGAUUAGAUACCCCGGUAGUCCCUGUCUCUUAUACA